rnacentral:rRNA from 1 species
UACCCUACAGCUAGCUUAAGUCACAACUUUUAACAUUCACUAUCAACAACCCUAAAAAAUUUUUUAAUUCUCUUAACCUAAA